AAAAAAAAAAAAAAAAAAAAAAACCUGCUCAUUCUCCCUUAUCGAGUUAUCAAGGGUCACAAAGGAUAGAGCUUAUGAAAAUGCCAGGUAUUACAAAGAAUUCACCAACUUAACACCUAAAAUAUUGACCCAUAGACCACAUUCACAGCACGGAGGCACAACCUUCCUGAUAUGGGUUGGGUGUUCGUUCCCUCCAAAUCUCAUGCUGAAAUGUGAUCCCCAGUGUUGGAAGUGGGUCCUUGUGGGAGGUAUUUGGGUCAUGUAGGCAGAUCCACCAUGAAUGGUUUGGUACCAUAAUGAGUGAGUUCUCACUCUUUUAGUUCAUGUGAGAGCUGAUUGUUUAAAAGAGCCUGGCACCCUUCCUCUCUCACACGUGCUGCCAGCUCCCCCUCCCCUUCUGCCAUGAGUGGAAGCUUCCUGAGGCCUUACCAGGAGCAGAUGUCAGUGCCACGUUUCUUGUACAGCCUGCAGAACCAUGAGCCAAAUCGACCUCUUCUUUAUAAAUUACCCAGCUUCAGAAAUUCCUUUCUAGCAAUGCAAAUGGACUAAGACACCUCCCAAGGAAGUUGGGAGAGCUUGGGCAUGCAAAUCCAUGGUAGAGCAUGCAAUCACGAAAAUACCUGUGUGAGUUCUAAAAGGAGCCCCUGAGCCAUAGAGUAGGAAAAGGAGCUUUUAGUAACUUGCAUAGGGAUUUUCAUAUUGUUUGCAAGUCAUUUAAUGCAGGUGGGCAUGCAUCAUGAUCCAUAAUACUCCUGCGCUCCUGCCUCCAGCCAUCCUUGGCCUCUUCACCUUCACGUCCUCCCUGCUGGAACCCAGCCUGGAAAAAUGGCAAACUGAGUCAUGGGGCAGGGAAAUGCCUUCAAGACAGUGAGCAUCAUUCAGUUAUGGCUCCUGAAGGCCUCUUGCUAGUGGCACAACACCAUGGACCUAGCCCUUGAAGGAAGAGGAGAGAAGGAGCGCCUUGGAGGGCCACGGAUAAUUAACUCCUUCCAGAAACUGGUAUCCAGGACUAUGCCUCGGAGGGCACCUACAGAUAAUGAGCCUACCAUCAGGUCACAAUUUUCUAAACACAGAUGUGUAAAGACAUAAGGAAUUUCCUGUUUAUCAUCCUGUCUUUGCCUAUACAAAUUCCUUUUUAAAUCUGGAUGAUUGUAUCCCAAACUGGGUUAUAAAGAAUAACAGAUAUUCUGGCAGAAAAGAAUACUACGGCUUAAUACAUUUGGGAAAUACCGCAUACCUUGAAUCACCAGAUACAAUGGCGUAUUAAUGACUCUCCUAUGUCCUGAACUGAAAACUAGCAAACAAAACUGGUUUCACUCUGUUUCCCCCAGUGUUUCUCCAAAUGGUUUGGCUACGAACUGCUUUCUUCACAGAACAGCUAUCAUCAUCUUACCUUUGUGGAAGGCAGUUUAAGAAUUGCUGUGUUAUGGUAGGCAGAAUUCUAAAAAUGCCCUUGUUUCCCCCAAGAUUCUCCUCUUCUGUUGAUUCAAUUGAAUAUUUACACAAAUGCUGCUGAGAGGGAAUUUUGCAGAUGCAAGUAAAGCCCUAAGUAAAUCGACUUUAAAAUAUGGAGAGUAUCUGGGUGAACCUGAGCCAAUCAGGUGACCUCUUAAUUGAAAGGGUGAGGAUUUGAUGUUCCUUCUGUGGCUUUGAAGGUGGAGGGAACCCCAUGAGAAGGAAUAUGGGCAGCCUGGAGAGGCAGAGACCAACCCCAACCCCCAGCUGACAGCGAUGAAAUGGGGACAUCAGACCUGAAGCCACAAGGAACCGGAUUCUGUCAACAACUGUAAAAAGCUGGAAGCAGAAUCUUUCCCAAAGCCCCCAGAUAAGAACCCAGAUGGCUGACACUUUGAUGUUGGCCUUGUGAGACUCUGAGCAGAGUCCAGGUGAGACUACCUGGACUUCUGACCUGUAGAAUUGUGGGAUAAUAAAUGAGUGUUGUUUUAAGCUGCUAAAUUUGUGGUAAUUCAUUUUGCAACGACAGAAAACUACUACAUACUGAUUCAGAGAAAUCAAAACAGAAGUGGUACACUCUUCUCUACCCUUUUACAUUCACAAGGUGUUUCCAAUGUAACGCUCAUGUAUGGUCAGGGCAGGUGUCUCUGUUUUUACAGGUGAUGAUAUAGACUCAGAGAGAUUAAGUUACUUGCCCAGGACACUCAGCUAGGAAAUGGGGGAAGGGGACUUGAACGGGCUUUUUUGUGUGUGAGUUAGGAUGGGGUGGGGGCGUGUUUCCUUUACUGUCUUUUGCAUUCAAAUAGGAAAAGGCAUUUGGAGAGACUGCAGUUGGGAGCUUGCAAAGGAGGAUGUAAAAAAAAAAAUCAGGGAAGAACACAUCAAGCAGCCGGUUCAACUGCUUCAUCAGAGAGGUCCUUUCUUUCAUCUCUUGUGUCUGAGCAGAAAAGCUUGUUAGAGAAAGGACCUACAGCUGUGAGUCAGUGACAAUGUGUGGGGGCAGGGUCUUAUGAGGCCACCGGAAGUGGGCUGCUGGGAUGCUUUAUACGGACAACUAAGGGUGAAGACACGCAGGCCUGUAAUAUCAAGAGAAACAAUGUUUGCAGGCUGACCGCCCAGAUGGGUGGUUUGCAGAGGUGGAGCUGCCUGCAUAAUUAAUCAGCUCUAGCUUUCUUCGCCACAACUGGCAUUCCUACCUGUACCCGCAGCCCUUGAGGGGCCCCUCACUCAGUGUCAUGGAGCAGACAAGUCAUCUGGGACCACUGCCCACUAACCCCCAUGGACAGAAGUGGAGACUGAAGCCCUGAAAAGGAACAGGACUUCCUCAAGGUCACAGUCAAGGAUCCCCUAACAUAUGACAAUUCUCUGUGUUGGUUAGUGAUGACUUCCUGAUGAGCCAGUAUUCCUUACUGAGCAAAUUUAGUGUGCGUGUAUGUGUGUGUGUGUGUGUGUGUGUGUGUGUGUGUGUUUUGUGUCCAGUAUGAGAGUCAGAACUGUGAAGUGUUAUUAUUGUCCUAAUAAUAAUAGAAGUCAAUACCCACAGAGUAGAGACCCAGUGCUUGAUGCUGUCUUGAAAGUGCUUCGUGCUAACCCCAUUCUCACAGCAAGCCCAUGAGGUAGUCAGGAAAUCAUUAGGGCUCUUAACAAAUGUUUCUGUCCAGAAGUGGAUCCAGGUUUUGCAGAGCUUAAAGCUUAUCCAAUUUGUGGGGACCUCUUGAAGGAAAGGAAUACCAACUUACAAAUAUAAAUUAGGCACAAGGCCUCAUGAAAGAGAAGAGCUUGGAAGCAUUACAGUAAGUCUGUUAGUUGCACGUUAAUGCUCCCUGCCCCUUGUGAAGUUACGCAAGAGAAUGACUUGCUUUGACCAAGGGGAUGUGAAUGAAAUUGAUGUGUGUCACUUCUGCGUGGAAGUCUUAAGACUUAGUGAGUGAUUCUCCACUUUGUUUCCUAACCCUGACUCCCAUGGUCCCUGGAUUGACCAUGGAAACGUGUGCCAAGAUGGAACCUCCUUUGCCCUGGAACUCUGAGUCUGUGAUAUCUAGAGCAACCUCUCUCUUAACCCUGCCCUGUGUCAACCGACAUGAGAUCUGGAGUGUAAGGAAGAAAUAAACUUUCGUCUUGGUAAUUCA